CAGCAGCCGCGGUAAUACGGAGGGUGCAAGCGUUAAUUGGAAUUACUGGGCGUAAAGCGCACGCAGGCGGUCUGACAAGUCAGAUGUGAAAUCCCCGGGCUUAACCUGGGAACUGCAUUUGAAACUGUCAGGCUGGAGUCUUGUAGAGGGGGGUAGAAUUCCAGGUGUAGCGGUGAAAUGCGUAGAGAUCUGGAGGAAUACCGGUGGCGAAGGCGGCCCCCUGGACAAAGACUGACGCUCAGGUGCGAAAGCGUGGGGAGCAAACAGGAUUAGAUACCCGCGUAGUCCCUGUCUCUUAUAC
rnacentral:rRNA from 1 species